UACGGGGGGGGCAAGCGUUGUUCGGAAUUACUGGGCGUAAAGGGCCAGUAGGCGGCCAACUAAGUCCGACGUGAAAUCCCAAGGCUUAACCUUGGAACUGCGUCGGAUACUGGAUGGCUUGAAUUCGGGAGAGGGAUGCAGAAUUCCAGGUGUAGCGGUGAAAUGCGUAGAUAUCUGGAGGAAUACCGGUGGCGAAGGCGGCAUCCUGGACCGACAUUGACACUGAACGGUGAAAGCUAGGGGAGCAAACGGG
rnacentral:rRNA from 1 species